UACGUAGGGUGCAAGCGUUAAUCGGAAUUACUGGGCGUAAAGCGUGCGCAGGCGGUUAUGUAAGACAGGUGUGAAAUCCCAGGGCUUAACCUUGGAACUGCAUUUGUGACUGCAUAGCUAGAGUACGGAAGAGGCGAGUGGAAUUCCUGGUGUAGCGGUGGAAUGCGCAGAUAUCAGGAGGAACACCAAUAGCGAAGGCAGCUCGCUGGGACGUUACUGACACUGAGGCGCGAAAGCGUGGGGAGCGAACAGG
rnacentral:rRNA from 1 species